rnacentral:lncRNA from 1 species
GUUUUGAGAUCAUCUCACUAUCUGGUUCUUUCCUGCUUGCGGAGGAUGGUGACACUCGCAGCAGGACUGGUGGUUUAAGUGUUGCACUUGCAGGAUCUGAUGGACGAGUUCUUGGAGGAUGUGUUGCUGGAAUGCUCAUGGCAGCAACUCCUGUUCAGGUUUGAUCAACCUGUAAAUUUUCUUCCUCCUAGUUGAGAUUUGUUCAAUUGCUUUAUUUCACUGACCACUUUAUACUUCUACCUGUGUUUGACUGGUCAUCAGGUUGUGGUGGCCAGUUUCAUCGCAGAGGGCAAGAAAUCAAAGCCAGCUGAGGCACGGAAGGUCGAACCGAUGUCUGCUCCUCCACCACAGAUGCCUACCUUCGUGCCACCUCCUGUGGCCACCAGCCCUCCAUCGGAGGGCACAUCCAGCGCAUCAUCCGAUGACUCUGGCAGCCCGAUCAACCACAGCGCCAUGCCCUUCAACCACUCCGGCCAGCACCAGCACCCUCACCAGCACCAGCACCAGCACCAGCACAUGCCGCCUGCCUACGCAUCCGGUGGGUGGUCCCUCUCUGCGCACCAGCAGAACAGGCAUGACUCUGACAUGAAGAUGAUGUCGAACUAACACUGCUCAACCUUAAGUGCCCCAUUUCCUGGUUGGGCUGGAGAGGAAGCUGCUGAUGGUUGGUUGGUACUUCUGCCAUGGAUGAUCCUUUUGCGUCGUCUGCUCUGAUCAGUGACGGUGUAUCUGCUAUAGCUAAGCUAGCUAGGAGAGUUAGGGUUCAUGGUCUCACCUGCUGUUGUUUCCCCCCCAAGUAAGAUUAAUUUAAUUCGAAUUAGCCGCCGUUGUAAUGCUGUAGCGUUGUCCUAAAGUCUGUCAGCCCCUAAC